GCGGGUGUAAUUCAAUGGUAGAAUGUCAGCCUUCCAAGCUGAAUACGCGGGUUCGAUUCCCGCCACCCGCUCCA
rnacentral:tRNA from 1 species